rnacentral:rRNA from 1 species
CCUACGGGGGGCAGCAGUGAGGAAUAUUGGUCAAUGGACGAGAGUCUGAACCAGCCAAGUAGCGUGAAGGAUGACUGCCCUAUGGGUUGUAAACUUCUUUUAUAAAGGAAUAAAACGAGGCACGUGUGCCUUUUUGCAUGUACUUUAUGUAUAAGGAUCGGCUAACUCAGUGCCAGCAGCCGCGGUAAUACGGAGGAUCCGAGCGUUAUCCGGCUUUAUUGGGUUUAAAGGGAGCGAAGGUGGGUUGGUAAGUCAGUUGUGAAAGUUGCCGGCUCAACGGUACAAUUGCAAUUGGUACUGGCAGUCUUGCGUACAGUUGAGGUAGGCGAAAGUCGUGGUGUAGCGGUGAAAUGCUUAGAUAUCACGAAGAACCCCGAUUGCGAAGGCAGCUUACUAGACUGUGACUGACAUUGAUGCUCGAAAGUGUGGGUAUCAAACAGGAUUAGAUACCCUAGUAGUC